UUAUAUGAAGGGAAUUAAUUUGGUUUUCUGCUUCUGAUGGUGUGAUUUUUGUAACGAGCACGAUGAUUCGGCGUGAGUAUUUCCCACCAAGAUUUCAAAAUUCAUUGAAAAUUUGUGGAUGGUAGCAAUCAAGGCUAGCAGAAAGUGGGCGUUCAGUAGUGAAGAGAUGAAUUAAAUUAAACCUCAUUUUCCUUAAUGUUAAAACUAGCAAGGGUGAAAGUUUAUUGAGUUUUGGAAUAUAUUAUUAGCAUGAUCCUUUUACAACAAAAAAAUGAUUAAUAAUAUAUUCCAAGGAUCACUGCACAAGGAUUCGAAUUUCGACAUCGUCGACUUGCUCUGGCAGAAGGCAUGGCAAGAGGACCGCUCUGGCAGACAUGCAUCUCCACUGACUCCAGGACCUCCCAAACGCCCAAGGUGAGGAUGCAUGUGGUCAGGUGUAUGGAAUCUGUAGUAUCGCGGUAGAUACAGUUGUUUUGUACAGAGCAAAUCACAUAGCCUGGGAAAUGGCUAUAACUGAAGGAAGGAUUAUUUUGAUCAAGGCGAUGUGAGUGACCAUCACUCGACAUCCAACAAGUCAACCAAGUACAGGCCGGCUGAUGAGAUCAAGCUUUGACGAAAAACGAGGGAUCCCAAUCUCCAGGUUCGGUUCAUGGAAUGGCUGGUGGGGCUAUACUGAAGAGAGUGGACUUAGGAACAAUGUGAGA